rnacentral:rRNA from 1 species
UUAAAUUGAAGAGUUUGAUCAUGGCUCAGAUUGAACGCUGGCGGCAGGCCUAACACAUGCAAGUCGAACGGUAACAGGAAACAGCUUGCUGUUUCGCUGACGAGUGGCGGACGGGUGAGUAAUGUCUGGGAAACUGCCUGAUGGAGGGGGAUAACUACUGGAAACGGUAGCUAAUACCGCAUAAUGUCGCAAGACCAAAGAGGGGGACCUUCGGGCCUCUUGCCAUCGGAUGUGCCCAGAUGGGAUUAGCUAGUAGGUGGGGUAACGGCUCACCUAGGCGACGAUCCCUAGCUGGUCUGAGAGGAUGACCAGCCACACUGGAACUGAGACACGGUCCAGACUCCUACGGGAGGCAGCAGUGGGGAAUAUUGCACAAUGGGCGAAAGCCUGAUGCAGCCAUGCCGCGUGUAUGAAGAAGGCCUUCGGGUUGUAAAGUACUUUCAGCGGGGAGGAAGGGAGUAAAGUUAAUACCUUUGCUCAUUGACGUUACCCGCAGAAGAAGCACCGGCUAACUCCGUGCCAGCAGCCGCGGUAAUACGGAGGGUGCAAGCGUUAAUCGGAAUUACUGGGCGUAAAGCGCACGCAGGCGGUUUG